rnacentral:lncRNA from 1 species
ACUAAUAUGUUUUCAUAGAAAGAACAUGCAUAAACACAUGAAUUAGGAAACAAAAAUUUGAAAAUGGUUUAUAUAACAAACGGAGCUUACAUUUAAGAGAAAGUUGAAGGCAUGGGGUAAGGAGAGUUUUGGGAAUAUGAGGGAGAAAGCAUGUUCUCUUUAAACAAAUUAGUCUUCUUUAUAGAUUGGCUUCUAAAAGAGGUAUGCUGAGGAUCAACAAGUCAGCUUGUCUUUGAGCAAUGAGUUUGAGGAGGUCCUCCUGAGGGGAAGAGAUUAUUUUAAGAUGGAAAUCUAGAUUUAAAUCAAUCAAAAAGAUUAUCUAUGAAUACGUUUAAAUCUAUGUUCUUUCAUAAGGUGGCCAUUGAGAGGAGGGACAAGAUUUAAUCAAGGAACUGGAUCUUAAGGUUAGUAGAAUUGUUAGGGACUGUACUUCUAUUUGUGUGCAACACUAGUAUUUAAGAGGUUUUAUAAGGAGGAAGAUGGUAAUAAACCUUCAAGCAAAGGUUUGGAGUGCCUCCCUUUAGAGCUUGGUAAAGCUACAUGUCUUAAGAGACUUUUUAAGGAGUCAAUGGUUAGGUAAGCUGUUUAGGAACUAGGUUUGGAUAAGUUUCCAGCACUUAUGGCUUUUUUAUUGCUUUUUCCUAGAGAUGCUUGGACUUUGUUAGGGAGAACUAUAAAAGCUUUGAUGAAUUCCACCUUC